UUUUAGCCCAGAUGGAAACGGAAACCCCGGAAUUAUAAUUGUUCGUUUUUUUUGGUGUAAAAGAGCGACUCCCGACGCUUCGGGAGAAGCUGCUUUUAUGCCUUAAAAAAACAACAAUUGUAAUGAGGAGUUGAAGUGUACAGCUGGAUUGGCU
rnacentral:sRNA from 1 species